rnacentral:rRNA from 1 species
UACGAAGGGGGCUAGCGUUGCUCGGAAUGACUGGGCGUAAAGGGCGCGUAGGCGGAUGGCACAGUCAGAUGUGAAAUUCCCGGGCUUAACCUGGGGCUGCAUUUGAUACGUGUUGUCUUGAGUUCGGAAGAGGGUCGUGGAAUUCCCAGUGUAGAGGUGAAAUUCGUAGAUAUUGGGAAGAACACCGGUGGCGAAGGCGGCGACCUGGUCCGACACUGACGCUGAGGCGCGAAAGCGUGGGAGCAACAGG